rnacentral:rRNA from 1 species
AGGCUAACGCAGGGAACUGAAACAUCUUAGUACCUGCAGGAAAAGAAAAUAAACAAUGAUUCCCCCAGUAGUGGCGAGCGAACGGGGAACAGCCCAAACCAUCCAUGUUACGGCAUGGGUGGGGUUGUAGGACUACGCCGUUGCAUGAAGACAUCAGAGAAGAACUUUCUGGAAAGAAAGACCAUAGAGCAUGACAGUUGCGUAUUCGAAUGUUGUCGAAGCAUAGUAGUAUCCUGAGUAGCGCGGAGCACGAGGAAUUCUGCGUGAAUCUGCCGGGACCAUCCGGUAAGGCUAAAUACUCCCGAGAGACCGAUAGCGAACCAGUACCGUGAGGGAAAGGUGAAAAGCACUUCGAACAGAAGAGUGAAAUAGUUCCUGAAACCGUGCGCCUACAAGCGGUCGGAGCUCGUUAAUGAGUGACGGCGUGCCUUUUGCAUAAUGAACCUACGAGUUGCCUUUGCCGGCAAGGUUAAGUGUGACGACACACGUAUCCGAAGCGAAAGCGAGUCUGAACAGGGCGUAUAGUCGGCAGUGGCAGACGCGAAACCAAGUGAUCUACCCUUGGCCAGGUUGAAGGCUGGGUAACACCAGCUGGAGGACCGCACCAAUAAGCGUUGAAAAGCUUCUGGAUGAGCUGAGGGUAGGGGUGAAAGGCUAAUCAAACUUGGAGAUAGCUCGUACUCCCCGAAAUGCAUUUAGGUGCAGCCUCGGGAAUUACUACUGUGAGGUAGAGCGACUGAUAAGAUGCGAGGGCUUCACCGCCUAUCAAGUCUUGAUAAACUCCGAAUGCGCAUUAGUUUGAGGUCAGGAGUGAGGGCAUGGGUGCUAAGGUCCGUGCCCGAGAGGAGAAGAAUCCGGACCACCUGCUAAGGUCCCGAAAUGACAGCUAAGUUAAACUAACGAAGUCUGACUGCUAAGACAGCUAGGAUGUUGGCUUGGAAGCAGCCAUUCAUUUAAAGAGUGCGUAACAGCUCACUAGUCGAGGAGUCGGGCGUGGAUAAUAAUCGGGUAUUAAGUUGUCUACCGAAGCAGUGGGAUCAUUUAUAUGAUCGGUAGGGGAGCAUUCCAGUCGGCGUCGAAGGCGUACCGUGAGGUAUUCUGGAGCGUCUGGAAAAGCAAAUGUAGGUAUAAGUAACGAUAAAGGGGGCGGGAAACCCCCUCGCCGAAAGACUAAGGUUUCCUGAUCAACGCUAAUCGGAUCAGGGUCAGUCGGGUCCUAAGGCUCAGCCGAACGGCGAUGCCGAUGGCAGAAACGGUUAAUAUUCCGUUACUACCUUCAGGAGUGACGUGGAGACGCAGUAGUGACAGUGCCGCCAUCUGACGGAAUAGAUGGUUGAAGGGUGUAGGAGUCGAUCAUGGCAGGCAAAUCCACCAUGAGAUCCGAACCUGACAGUAUGCCGCGUCCUUCGGGACAAGGCAAUAGUGCGCGUAAGCAUGCUGCCGAGAAAAUCCGCUAAACUUAAUCCUGCAGGUACCCGUACCGCAAACGGACACACGUAGUCGGGUUGAAUAUACUAAGGCGCUUGAGUGAUUCACGGUUAAGGAACUAGGCAAACUGACCCUGUAACUUCGGGAUAAAGGGUCCCUACCCUUUUAUGGGAGGGCGCAGAGAAUCGGUCCAGGCAACUGUUUAACAAAAACACAGGGCUGUGCCAAAUCGAAAGAUCCAGUAUACAGCCUGACACCUGCCCGGUGCUGGAAGGUUAAGAGGAGAUGUCAUCGAUAAGAGAAGCGUUGAAUUGAAGCCCCAGUAAACGGCGGCCGUAACAAUAACGGUCCUAAGGUAGCGAAAUUCCUUGUCGGGUAAGUUCCGACCUGCACGAA